UAGUGUUCAUCAUGGCAAGCAGAUGGCACCAGGAGAAAUGGACCCCCUGCCAGUGAGUCCUAGCAGUGCAGGAGGGCAGACCCUGGAGGAGACAGCGACCUAAGUUGAUGCCUAUCCAGUGAAUUCCAGAGGCUUAGGAAGUUCUGCA
ensembl:misc_RNA